AACGCUAGCUACAGGCUUAACACAUGCAAGUCGAGGGGCAUCAGGGUAGCAAUACCGCUGGCGACCGGCGCACGGGUGAGUAACACGUAUCCAACCUACCGUUAACUCGGGGAUAGCCUUUCGAAAGAAAGAUUAAUACCCAAUAGUAUAUUUUCUUCGCAUGUUGAAAAUAUUAAAGAAUUUCGGUUAUCGAUGGGGAUGCGUUCCAUUAGGCAGUUGGCGGGGUAACGGCCCACCAAACCUACGAUGGAUAGGGGUUCUGAGAGGAAGGUCCCCCACAUUGGAACUGAGACACGGUCCAAACUCCUACGGGAGGCAGCAGUGAGGAAUAUUGGUCAAUGGACGAAGGUCUGAACCAGCCAAGUAGCGUGAAGGAUGACUGCCCUAUGGGUUGUAAACUUCUUUUAUAUGGGAAUAAAGUUCUCCACGUGUGGAGUUUUGUAUGUACCAUUAUGAAUAAGCAUCGGCUAACUCCGUGCCAGCAGCCGCGGUAAUACGGAGGAUGCGAGCGUUAUCCGGAUUUAUUGGGUUUAAAGGGAGCGUAGGUGGACUGGUAAGUCAGUUGUGAAAGUUUGCGGCUCAACCGUAAAAUUGCAGUUGAUACUGUCAGUCUUGAGUACAGUAGAGGUGGGCGGAAUUCGUGGUGUAGCGGUGAAAUGCUUAGAUAUCACGAAGAACUCCGAUUG
rnacentral:rRNA from 1 species